AGUGAACGCUGGCGGUAGGCCUAACACAUGCAAGUCGAACGGCGGCACAGUAAGAGCUUGCUCUUACGGGUGGCGAGUGGCGGACGGGUGAGGAAUACAUCGGAAUCUACUUUUUCGUGGGGGAUAACGUAGGGACACUUACGCUAAUACCGCAUACGACCUACGGGUGAAAGCAUGGGAUCUUCGGACCUUGCGCGAUUGAAUGAGCCGAUGUCGGAUUAGCUAGUUGGCGGGGUAAAGGCCCACCAAGGCGACGAUCCGUAGCUGGUCUGAGAGGAUGAUCAGCCACACUGGAACUGAGACACGGUCCAGACUCCUACGGGAGGCAGCAGUGGGGAAUAUUGGACAAUGGGCGCAAGCCUGAUCCAGCCAUACCGCGUGGGUGAAGAAGGCCUUCGGGUUGUAAAGCCCUUUUGUUGGGAAAGAAAAGCAGCAGGUUAAUACCCCGCUGUUCUGACGGUACCCAAAGAAUAAGCACCGGCUAACUUCGUG
rnacentral:rRNA from 1 species